rnacentral:lncRNA from 1 species
AUAUAUAUAUAUAUAUAUAUAUAUAUAUAUAUAUAUAUAUUGAAAUAUUGAAUUUCUAAAUCUCUCGUAGAGACAUGUACGGUGGUGGGGCGAUAGAAUGGUUGUAUACUGUCAAUCUAACAAGAACGUGACAGUAGGGGGUACACCACCGCUGUAUAGCCCUAGGAAGCAUCGAACGCCUCGAACGCCUCCUGAUAGCUUUGACACAUUUUUCCCCUGUGUCCUUAUAUACAUAUACGAAGGGGAGACAAACACCCCCGGCUGCCGGAACUGCAUCUAGGGACACCGUGUUUCAGGAUCGUUGUCCUUCAUCGGCCUAUAUAUAUAUAUAUAUAUGUAUAUAUAUAUAUGUGUGUGUGUGUGUGUGUGUGUGUAUGUAUGUAUGUGUAUAUAUAUAUAUAUAUAUAUAUAUAUAUAUAUAUAUAUAUAUAUAUAUAUGUAUGUAUAUAUAUAUCUAAAUAUAUAAAUAUAUAUAUAUAUAUAUAAAUAUAUAAAUAUAUAUAUAUAUAUAUACAUAUAUAUAUAUACAUAUGUAUGUAUAUAUAUAUGUUUACAUAUACAUACAUACAUAUAUUCAUACUUACGUACUUACGGACAUACACAGGCAAACAGUCUGAGAACAUUGAAGCAUAGAAAGCAUAGAAAGACAUGUAGAGUAUUAAACACUACUCUGUAUUAUAUACUAUAUUUCUCUAUGCAAGAAUGAUUUAGUAAUCCGAAUCAAAGUUUCGUACCCAGAGACAAAUAAAUAAUUUUGCAGUCUUUUAACGUACGGUGCUAAAUUCUCGCUCUCUUUAUGUGUGCAUACUUAUAUAUGUACUAAACAUCGUUAUCUUCGCUAGAAGUCUCUUGCACGUGUACAUGCUUAUUGAUAAUUCGUAUACAUUUUGUGCCACAUCUGUAUCUCAUUGUUAUGUAGUGGUGUAUAAGAAAGUACUAUGUGGGGUAUCUUGAUUCUGAACCUACAUAUCUGCCUACCAAACAUACAUAGAUACAUAUGUUCAUACGUACAUAGAGACAGACACGCAUACAUUACGUACAUACAUAUAUACGAGCAUACUUCCACACAUACGUAUAUGCAUGUAUGUAUACACUUGUUUAUUAGGGUGCAAGUGCGGUAACUAGACACAUAAAUCUCACGUGGUAUAUCUUAUUUCAUGAAUUUAGAUACUUAUUUACGAAGCAUGCUCUACGACUAAUGAGAAAUUAACGAGGUCUCUGCUACUUCGAACAAUUAUCACCAAUAUCCACAUAUCGAAAUAAUACUUUUACAUUUAUUUCACAAUAACUUGCUUAAUUUCAAUUUUGCCACGACUACUGAAGCCAUCAUCUGAGGAUGACAGUUCUAGAUUCCCAAAGGUUUUAACCUCUAGGUUUGAAUAUAAUGCAACUGGCGAGCAGACACACUCAUGACCUAUAUAGCGGCGACAUGUGUCUGUGCGUGAGUGUUGGGUGUAUAUAUAAUAAAUACUGGAAUACAUAUUUAGGCUCUAGGUUUCGUUCAACCAGCUGAUAGGAAAAAUCGACUGAAAUACCAAUGGUAAAAAAUAGGAUUCAUUAUUUAAAUUAUUUAAGUUAUAAUAAACAGCUAUCAUGUACUACAUACCUCUAGCUAGCUUCCGUACGCUAGUUCAGGUGCACGAUUCAUUUAGAAUCAUACAUGUACACAAGUGUUGGGGUAAGUGAAUGUCGGUUUUGUGUUUGGAGACUUAAGUUUGAACAUUUUACAUGUAACCAUCAAGUGUGCUUCUGAGUGAAUACCAAUUAAACAUUUUCAUUGCACGUUGUCAGCUCAUAUUUUUGCAAGUGCUCCGCCACGUUUCAUAGCAUGAUAAUGCUAAUAUUAACUGUUUCAUACAAAAAGCGCUUGUUAUUCCAUAAAAGGCUUGCUGCGAAUCUCUAGAGAAAAAAUCCAGAGGUAUUCAGCUAUACAAACCUUUCUGUUCGUAAGAUCAUGCAACAUCAAAUUAAUGAUGAUGAAACACAUGGAUCUAUUGUCAUACUAUCAACUCCAAGAUACGCACAUUUUUAUAGGAACACAGCUAACAAGAGGUAAAUUGCAUGUAGACACCUGUACAUUUAACGGCACCAAUAUAUUUACACGUAUAAACGUGUAUGAAUAUGUAUAUCUAUCUAUCAAUCUCUCUCACUCUCCCUCUCUCCCUAUCUCCCUCCCUCUCUCCCUCCCUCUCUCCCUCUCUCUCUCCCUCUCUCCCUCUCUCUCUCUCUAUAUAUAUAUAUAUAUAUACACAUAUAUUCGUAUGUGUAUAUAUGUGCGCAGGAAUGGCUGUGUGGUAAGAAUCUUGCUUCGCAACCACAUGGUUCUGGGUUUAAUCGCACUGCGUGGCAUCUUCAAGGAGUGUCUUCUAGUAUAGCUUCAGACCGACCAGAAAAUUGUGAGUGGACUUGGUAGAUAGAAACUGAACGACGUCUGUAGUGCAUAUGUGUAUGUGUGUGUGUGUGUGUGUGUUUGUGUGUGUUUAUGCAUGUAUCUGUGUGUUCUUGUUGUGCCUCCUACUAUUGCUUAUCAACCGACGUGUGGUGUGUUUACGUCCCCGUAACUUAGCGGUUCGGCUAAUAAGUAGAAUAAGUAGUAGGCUUACAGAAAUAUAAGCCCAGGGGACGAGUUUUUCGACUAAAGGCGGUGCUCUAGCCCAGCGACAGUUACAUAAUUGAUAAAAUGAAUAACAGAAAACAAGUGAAGAAUACCUAUAUACAUAUGCACAUUAUCAUCAUUGUAUAACGUCCGUUCUCUAUGCUAGCAUGGGUUGGACGGUUCGACUGGGGAUCUGGGAAGCCAGAAGGCUGCACCAGGCUCCAGUCUGAUCUUGCAGUGUUUCUACAGCUGGAUGCCUCUCCAUGAGUGUAGUGAGUGCUUUUUACGUGUCACCGGCACGGAAGCCAGGCAAGGCGGCGCUGGCAUAGGCCAGGUUCGGAGGGUGCUUUUUGGAUGCCACCGGCACAUAUAUAUAUAUACCUAUUUAUAUAUAUAUAUAUAUGCAUACACACACAUACAUAUACACACACACACACACACACAUAUAUAUAUAUAUAUAUAUAUAUAUAUAUAUAUAUAUAUAUAUAUUCCUUGUUUCGUAUACAUUCGCUGCUUUCUUCCAAGGAUUGUAAUGACCUUAACUUAUUUUUCCUUGCAAAGAUAAUCUAGAACUCGACUGGUGGGGGGACUCCGAAUGAUCCGUCUUUGUUUUCUUUGUAUAGUCUGUCUGGAUAUUUUGUUUUACUUUUUCUUGUUUCACCUCUGUAGAUGUUUUGUCCCAUUUUUUUUGUAUUUAUAUAUAUGUAUGUAUUUAUAUAUAUAUACACAUACAUGUAUCUUUUCCUAUAACGUGUAAUUGUCUAAAUAUGGAGAACAAGGUAGUGUUUUAUAGAGUGUAGCAUACAUAAAAAAAAGUUGCUGCCGACAUAUAUUGAUUUACAUCUAGUUUCAUUGAGCUUCAUAUCGAGACUUAUGAUCAGGGAGAUAGUGUGUGUGUGUAUACACACAGACACACACAUAUAUAAAAAAAACCGAAGAAGAACGAAACAGUGUAUAUAUAUAUAUUCGUAUGUAUGUGUGUGACUGUGCACUUAUGUGUUAUUCUUCAACAAAACUAGUGUUGACAAUGAUUUCGGUGUGAUGGCCACGAAAACCAUAAUGAAACCCAUUUUGACUUAGCUGGGGUAAAUGACUAUCCUAUUGUUAAAAGUAAUAAAAUUGUACUCUGCCAAAAGUAUUGAGUACUCAUUGAAAUUCUUUUAAUCAAAACAUAAAAAAAGCAGUCAUGUAUGUAUGUAUGUAUGUAUGUAUGUACGUGUGUACGUAUGCAUGUAUGAAUCAAGUAAGACAAUGUAGGAAUAAAGAAUAUAUAUAUAUAUAUAUAUAUAUAUAUAUAUAUAUAUAUAUAUAUAUAUAUAUAUAUAUAUAUAUAUAUAUAUAUAUAUAUAUAUAUAUAUAUAUAUAUAUAUAUAUAUAUAUAUAUAUAAACAUAUAUACAUAUAUAUAUAUAUAUAUAUGUAUGUAUGUAUGUAUGUAUAUAUAUAUAUUCCAAUUUCAUGCGUCGGCGUUUUCUUUUUUCUUUUUUUGCAUCUUUUUCUCUUUGUUUCAGUUCCACUUCGCAACCUAUGUUUAGAAAAUUCAAUCCCUCCGCCCAUCCAUCUGUAUAGUUUGCAUAUUGAAAAUCAUUUGUACAUCUAAAGUCAGAUUAAACAGUCUAUAUUAUGUCACGUGACCGCCAUAAAAAUAAUGAUGGAAUCUUGCUAAAUUAAUCCAAGCGCUUAAAAAUACAACAUGAUAAACGACAAUAAAAUAGUGGUAGUUAACGUAGACUUUCAUUGCAUGCCAUUGUUCAUUUGAAAACUGUCCUCUUGUGUUACGUUGCCGUGGUAAUUAAACAAUAACGUUGGAACAGUGUCAAAUAAAAGACUACCAGCUAUGCAUUCAUACAUAUACGCAUAAAUAUACACUGAGCUCUGACGUGAAGAAGAUCUUUCAAUCAUAAAGUUUCCUGCGGCUCCGACGGUUACGACGACGAGGGUUUCGGAUCAUCCCUCAAAGGAACAGCCUGCUCGUGAAAUUAACGUGCAUGUGGCUGAGCAGUGCACAGACAUAUGUACAUGUAACCUAGUUUUUCAGGGAGAUUCAGCGUGACCCAGAUUGUGACAGGGCUGGCCCUUUUUGAGAAACCGGUACACCAGAAACAGGAAGAAAUAGUGAGAAUUGUGGUGAAUAGUUGUGGUGAAAAAGUAGAGCAGGGUUCGCCACCACUCCCUCGUACAGCUUUUGGGUGUUUUCGCUCAAUAAGCACUCACAACGGCCGCUCUGAUUGUGUGUGAACGGAAAGUCACGCUUCGCACAUCACUGAUUUUCAGUACAGCGGUUCUACAUCUAGACAAGUUACUUUAUGUCAUAACGUCGUUAAUAAGAUUGCUACAAAGAUUAAAUAUUUUUAAUGUGUUGAUUGCAAAUUCGAGAUUUUCUCUCAGUUCCCUUGCGCGGCAACUUUGGCAAGUGAGCAUGUAAUACAUGCCUACGCACUCACGCGCACACACACAUACACACAGAGGCGCACACAAAAACGCAUACAUAAACAUUUAUAUAUGUGUGUAUGUUUGUAUGUAAGUAUCUAGCAAAUAUAACAAAUAUUGUUCCACGUUUUUAUACGUGCUUCAAUUUCACUACUUUGUUUACCUUUGAAUCUUUCAGUUGGGUUGCACGUUGCCUGCGUAGGUACAUCAAUAGUGGUUUGAGAGAUACGAGUCAGAGUCUGCUCUCAGCGCUGAUGUGCGAAACAAUGUUAACAGGUAUCCGAGAUGUUUUGUCUUUGAUUCAUGCUGUAUCUUGUAAACGCAACUGAUUUAGCCAAUAAAGUGAUGAUAUAUGAAAACGCCCAAAAUUUGUUCUCAUAUAAUAUGACUUGUAUACCUGCUUCAAAUAUUUUAAAGCAGCGAUUUAAAUGGAUGUGUGGUUUCGUUUGCGUUUACAAUUAUAUUUCUUCAUAAAAGAUCAUUCUAUAUUUCUUUAUAACGCCUUUCAUAUUUACUCUCUCGCAAUAACCAUUGUUAUAUUCUUUAAAACACUCGAAGCAUCACAUUGCCAACUAACAAGAAAGAGGAUGGACUUGCUAAGAAGCGGUAUAAUACCAAAUGAAGCAUAAGACACUAAUGAGGUAGUCUGGUAAAUGUUUCGAUUACGAAAUAUGGAAUCUCCUCUGAAACAUAUUUGAAAAAAAUAACCUUUCUCUGCUUGCGAUUUUCAACGAUGUCAAAGCAUUCAAAUAUUCCGAAGAACCUUCUCUGUGACCUAUUUGAGAAGAUAACCUUCCUAUGUUUGCGAUUUUGCAAGAUUUUCAAGCAUGCAAAUAUUUUCAGGUUUAUACAGUUUGUCUUAGGAUUCCAGCUGUCCAGAAACAUACACACACACGACACAAACACUUAGACGUACACAUUCACUGAAAACUAUAGUAAGUUAUUGCGAUGAUUAUAAGAGAGAUAGACUGACAUACAGACAACUUCGAAAAAGGUAUUUACUGAUGAUGCUUGUUAGGCUAUUCACAGAUGGAGGUGGUAAUCGCUGCGGUGUUUGGGCGUAGUUGCAGUUGAGAGCAAGCUAUUAAUUGUUGUGGAAUGAAAGUUUAAGAUAUGGCAGGUGAUUUUGCGUAAUUGGCGUCGAGCAAUCUCGUCACUACCACCACUGCUACUAUGACUACGAACACCAAAGAAAUCGCAUUUGUCUCACAAAGCAAGAAAAGAAUUAAAACCUCUGCCACAUGCACUUAGCAUUGUCAUCUUAUCUGAGUCGAUUCCUUCAGCAUGACGCAAAAUAAGGGUAUUGUUAUUAUGAAAUUUAUUAUUGUUAUUAUUAUUAUUAUUAUUAUUAUUAUUAUUAUUAUUAUUAUUAUUAUUAUUAUUAUCAUUAUUAUUAAUUUUAUUAUUAUUAUUAUUAUUAUUAUUAUUAUUAUUAUUAUUAUUAUUAUUAUUAUUAUUAGUGGUAGUAGUAGUAGUAGUAGUAGUAGUAGUAGUAGUAGUAGUAGUAGUAGUAGUAGUAGUAGUAGUAUCAUUGUUGUUAUUGUUGCUGUUGCUGCUGCUGAUUUUGUUGUUGUUUUAUACGAGAUAUUCGAAAUGUAAGAGGGACACCAAAAUACGGCAAGCUGGACAUUUAACUACGAGUGCAAUCUUUACGUAUCAAUUCUAUAUUAAGGUUUUUGCUCUGAACAAGUGUUUUGCAAUUUUGAAAGGUUUCGAAGAAACGGGAUAUGAUCAAGUUUACAAAGUUUUUCUCAGGAAUCAUCAUCAUUAUCAUCAUCUCAUCACCAUCGUCUACAUCAUUGUCGUCGUCGUCCUCCUCCUCAUCAUCAUUAUCAUCUCCAUCAUCACCAUCACUUCUAUUUUCAUUGUUAUUCUUAUUGAGUGAAUGUGCAACGCAUGCCAUCAAAGUGACAAUGGGGUACAAAUAUACACAGGCCAAUAUGCCCAUCAUAACUACCUGUCUAAUAAGAGUACACCAGGCACGUGAAUCACAAACAUAUGAGCAACGCAUGGUUAUUGAUCUCUGAUCAUGAUAAGCAGCGCAUGACCUUGCAGGUGAAAUCAAUUUUUUUUCCAUAUCGAUUAGUCCAUCCCGCGUAUCGAGUAGUUCCAUCCUUCGAUAAGGAUUGUCUGAGGAUCAUGAACGAAAUAUCCAUGUUUUCACCGGUGAAUUACACAAAACCCCACACAUCUUUUUCAAUACAUGACUAUAGUGAUCCCUCACUACUCAUGAUUGGACAUGUGCAUACCGUCAGCAACUGAGGGACAUGCUCCACUGAUUAUGAUCAGGCAACUGGCAAGCGAAUGUGUGGUAUUAAACAUAAUAUAUCCUGUAACACAUCUUAAUACCAAGACAAAGCAUGUACAUAUUAAAACUGCCGAUCAGUUAGGAUCACAAUCCAUGAAAACCACUCCCUGAUAUUGCAUCAGAGCUGUUAGCAGUUAUUUAGGUUUUCAUUUAACUGAAUGCAUUAGGGGUUUACUGCUUUUCGUGCCAACACAUUUUUUUUAUUUCUGUGAUACGAAUAUACACUAUCUACAUGCAUACAUAUACAUCCUCUUCUAUAUGUAUGUGUGUGUGGCUGUACGGUUCAUUCUGGCAUUCUAGAGCCAUUUGUCAACAUAAUUAUAUAUUUGUAACGUUGUUAUCUAAAUGUAUACAUAUAGAAUAAUUUUUCGUUCUUUACUGAACACCUCUUUCCAGAGCAAUAUUUUAAUUUAUCAGAUUACAGAGUUUGGUUAUCUCUACUUCUUGAUCAUUUUCCUGUAGGUUAUUUUCAUCACUUUCGUUGAGAGUUAGUGGAUUCAUGUGACAUCUCGAUUAAUCUCAUUCUUGAGAAAAACGCUUGGCCGAUUAACACUUGAUCUUCUUGAUUUGUCUUUGUGUUUUUUUUCUUAUGUGUCUGAUAUAGCCUUUUCUCACUUAGAUAACACACUUAGCGUUUGCCUAUAUAGGAACUUUUUUCGCUUUUAUUUCCUAAUGCAGCCUCACGGCCUGGUGUUUGUAGGUGUUAUGUUGUUCUUGGAAAUAUAUAUAUAUUUUGAAUAAGAAAAUAUAUUACCUCGGGCAUGAUACAAACAGAGACUAUCUCUUCCCAACAACGAAUAUUCUGGCAUAGCUUAAUAUAUUCUGCUUCAUUUUACUCUUCUGUUAGUUUCCAGUGAGAAGUCAUUAAUGACCCGCCGCCUUCAAGAAUAAUUUUACUUCCGUUUCAGUUUUUCGCUUUUCAGCGUUGUCACAGAAAGAAAAAAAACAAGAGACGAUAUUUGUCGACAUACAUUGUGCAUAGAUAUUCCUUGAUAUCCUUUUUGCAUGGAUAUGUGGAGAGGAAAAAUUCGCAGGUCUUCAUUCGUGUGUUUAAUUUAAUAUAUAAUGCAGGAGGAGGUAUUCAGCCUAGGAGAUAUGGUGUAUAAUGGUAUGCUUCCUGGAAACCUCGGUGACUAAAGUUGAUGGCUUCUUAUUUUAUCACCGUGGAAAAAACAUUGCAGAAUUCAUUAAAAUGGGGCAACGUAAAAUAUGUGCUGGAAUUAGUAAAUAUGAAAACGGAAAGGAGCAUGAACACAUAAAAUGACACACAUCAAAAUGACGCAUACAUACGUAUAUCGUAACAUGAACAAAUCAUGUGUAUGCGUAUAUUGUAUACUUAUGUGCAUGAGCAUGUGUACUUAUUCACGUAUAUAUGUGUGAUUAUACAUAUCUAUAUAUCUCUAUCUAUCAACACACACACACACGCACGCACACACACACACACACACACACACACACACACACACACACACACACACACACACACACACACACACAUAUAUAUAUAUAUAUAGUUGAAAUUAAAAAACAAAAACAAGAGACGAAGACAGGUGUGCGAGUGUAUUAGCCUGACGCUCAGAAAUAUGAAAAGUCUUUUACGUUUCGAACAUAAGCUCUUUAACGGAAAGAAGGAGGGUUUAACGUUUCGAGCGGAGCUCUUCGUCGGAAACAUAGGAGAAGGAAAGAUCCAGAGAAGAGAAGACAGUGGAAAAAUCACCAACGAUACACACGCGGUCACAUUUUGAAUAUAUAUAUAUAUAUAUAUAUAUAUAUAUAUAUAUAUAUAUAUAUAUAUAUGUAUACAAAUAUAUGUGUACGAUAUUACACACACAUACAAAUGGCUUCAAACAUUGUGUUUCAGUACAACUUGAUGAAGAGAAGCAUACUCACAGGCAAAUGCAAACACAAUUAUAUGCAUUCGUCACCAUACUGUGUGAUGUUGGACAAAUUGCAUAUCUUACCGUGCUUAAAUUAUUUCUGUAGAGUCAAGAGACCUCUUCACUCAUUCAAGACGCAAGUGUUACAAAUCAUAAUAAUAAUAAUAAUAAUAAUAAUAAUAAUAAUAUAACAUAAUAAUGAUUAUAUUGAUAAUAAUGCCAUUUGUAGUAUAUAUAUAUAUAUAUAUAUAUAUAUAUAUACAUGUGUAUGUAUAUAUGCAUGUGUAUAUAUGUUUAUAUAUAUAUAUAUAUAUAUAUAUAUAUAUAUAUAUAUAUAUAUAUAUUAAAUUAGAGAUAUAACCACUAUUAGACAAAUCCAACAGUGAAACAUUAAUCAAUACAUAGAAAUAAAAUUGAUAUAAAAUACAAAAUAUAUAAAAUUCAAAAUUUAAACUUUUUAAAUUUAAAGUUAGAAUUUUAAAAAUUAUCUAAAUUAAUAAUUAAUACUUAUAAAUUUAUAUAUAUAUAUUUUUGUAUAUUAUUUUUACUUUUAUUAUUAUUAUUAUUUUAAUUUUUAUUUUAAAUAUAACUAUCAAAAACUAUUAAAAAGUUUAAUAUAAGAUAAAGAGUAAAACCACAUAUAUAUAUAUAUAUAUAUAUAUAUAUAUAUAUAUAUAUAUAUAUAUACAUCCAUAUGUAUUCAUAAAAGGUGUCUAUAUAUAUACACAUAUAUAUAUGUAUAUAUAUAUACAUAUACAGAGAGAGAGAGAGAGAGAGAGAGAGAGUGACUCAGAGAGUGUUUGUUAUCGUCAUCAUCAUCACCAUUAUCACCACCAUCAUCCUUAUUAUUACUUGAUGAUCGUAUACUCAGUGAAUCAUGAUACUUUUCAGCUGUAAUAAAGUAUUAUAAGCACUCUACUUCAGGUAUUGAUUUCUCUAGCUUCCGUUUUAUCAAAUAUUCUUUUUCAAUAUAAAUUUGGUCGUGUGUGCACGUAUAUCUGUGUCUGUGUGUGUGUGUGUGUGUGUGUGUGUGUUUAUGCGUAUUUAUGAGCGUGCGUACGUGCUUACGUGUGUGUUAACUUCUACGUAUGCCUCCGUGUCUAUUAUUUCCUUCAUGAUGCCGUUAUUGAAAUAGCAGUUAUCAUUUAAUAUGUUUAAAAAUAUAACGUGUAUCUUCGUUACAAGGAAUAUAGUAACAUUUUAAAAUUUAUGCAGAUUUCAUAUAUUAAAUUCUCCACAAAAUGGAUCAUCCAGUGCCCUGAUAAACCUGGUAUCUCUGGAUUAUGACCAAGCUGAAUUACUAUGUUCCAGACACCUAAGUUGCUUCUGAGGUUUUCUUGCUUUUUUUAUUAUUUUAAUUAUGCUGUCUGUGUUUUUAUAAUUUGUCUGUAUCUCUGUCAUUCAUUUGCCUCUCCACUCCAUAGUCUGAAAUUAUAUUGUUAUCUGGUGUUUGAUCUAGAAGCAAAUUACAGUUAAAAUUUUUUCUUAAUUUCAAGUUUGACUUGGAGCAUUAUUCUUCAAUCGAAUGCAAUUCUUCAAUCUCUGUCCUGUUUCUUGUUUUCCAUUACCGACUUUAGGCAGUCCAUAUAUUUGUGAUUGCCCUACUAUAACACACUGUAACUAGGUUGGUGCGGUCCAACAUAUUUGUUGAAGGUUUCAUGCUAUCCAGUAAAUAGACAAAGCGAUUGAGAGAUACAGAUGGAGAACUUCUUUAAAUUACAUCUCAUUUCAAGACAGGUUUACAUUUUGUUACAGAUUCCGUAUGUUGUUUGUGUUUGCAGCAUAUGCUGAUAAACAACGUUAAUAUUGGUUUCAAAUACUUGGCACGAGGCAGGGAAUUUUGGGGAAGGAUGCUAGUCGAUUGCAACAACGCCAGUGUUCAACUAGCACCUAAAUCAUCAAGUCCCGGAAGGAUGAAAGGUAAAUUCGCCCUCGGCGGGAUUUGAACUCAGAACGUAGGGAGAGACGAAAUGCCGCAAAAUAUUUUGCCCGGGGUAAUAACUAUUUUGCCAUCUCGCCGCCUUAAAGCACGUUAAUAUUAAUGUUUGUUCUAUGACGGCGAGCAGGCAGGAUCGUUCACACGCCGGGCAGUAAUGAUUAGCGGCAUUUCGUCUGUUAUUAACUUCUGAGUUCAAAUUCUGCCGAUGCCCACUUUGCCUUUCAUCCUGUCGGGAUUAUAAACGGUAUUCUCUUUUUAUGGAAGCCCUUCUGAGAGUAAAACCAUGUCUUUCGUUGAUCCUCCUACAAUCUCCCGCUAUAUUUCUUUUAUGAAGUAAUUGGUUAUUAAAGACGGACAAUUAAUUGGUGCGUCUUUUCUCUUCAGUGAACACACGAGUACUUGAGAUAUAGUUUUAUACCUUGUUUACCUUGAAUCUUAUAUUUGUUGCAGUCAUUAGACUGCGUCUAUGUAGGAGAACCGACUUGAGAUCUUACUCGAAUGAAUUGAACCCAGUACUUAUUUUUUAAACCUGGCACUUAUUUUUUCGAUCACUAUUCCUGAAGCGCUAAGUUACACGUUUGAAACACAUUAACAAUGGUUGUCAAGCGGUGGUGGUGGGAAUAAGCAUAAUCAAACCAUAGAUACAUAGAUACAUAGAUACAUAUAUAUAUAUAUAUAUAUAUAUAUAUAUAUAUAUAUAUAUAUAUAUAUAAUAUAUAUAUAUAUACAUAUAUACAUAUUUAUAUAUAUAUAUAUAUAUAUAUAUAUAUAUAUAUUAUAUAUAUUUAUAUAUUAUAUAUAUAUAUAUAUAUAUAUAUAUAUAUAUAUACAAUGUUUUUUUCAGUUUCCACAAGGCUUGGUCUGCCAGGCUGUAGAAGAAAGCAGUUGCCCCAAAUUUUACGUUUUUGACUUUUGUAAGUUGGCCAAAAGGCAAGCAGUGAACUUGCACUGGUUACUGCUUGAUUUAAACAGACACGCAAGCACACACACAAGCACACACACACACUCACACACACAAAUAGGACGGUCUUCUUUCAGUGUCUAUCUGUUAAAUCCUAUCUCAAGGCUUUGAACCUCCCAGGGUUACAGUAGAAGACAACUUCCACGCAGUGGGAAUGAACCCCAAAUCAUGUGGUUGGGAAACACGCUUCUUACAACACAGUCCUGUCUGCGCCUAUUCUUCAGUUUUCAUUAGCAGUAUUUCUGCAGUUGUUUAAAGAUUUUAAGAACUUCUUGAUGAGCGUGUUUGUGGCUGGAACUCGAUCACAAAUUUGUUCAAAUAGUCAUUAUUCAUUUUAUAACGUCGAAUCAUUUGUGUGUUCUUUGAUUUUCGUUAUUUUUCGUUAUGUAACAGGUUUAUUUUAUAGUUUUUGUGACUCUUUUUAAAAUGUCUCUUGGUGAAUAAUUUCUUUCAUAAAAGAUAUUCGCUUAUUGCCUAUACUGCGCAUAUUGCCUAUCCUGUUUUAUAUUUUAUUUCCAUGUAUGCGUACAAGAAAAAAAUGCGGGUACAGCACUUUUUGAUUUUUACAAACAUAACUGAUGUAAUUAAUAUUUCUUUUAACUUUGUCAAAUCGUUGUAAAUCUCCGUUUACAUAACGAUUUUGGUGGCCAAGAUUCUAUUUCUGCUUGUUGUGGAGAAUAUUGCAUUGCAAACAUCGAUCGUAAAGAUAUGCUUUGGCUGGUUUAGAAGAUAUAUUGUUGUAUUACCCAUUGCUACUAUUAAACAAUCACGUUUAUAAUUGUCAUACUUGCCAGCGUUCGGAUUUCAUAUUAUUCCUUGGAAUUUAGUGUUUCUAAUAUGUUCUAUUAUAUAUAUAUAUAUAUAUAUAUAUAUAUAUAUAUAUAUAUAUAUAUAUAUAUAUGUGUGUGUGUGUGUAUACAUAUAUUGCGUAGUGUUAUCUUUGUCCAAUUGUUUCUUUAUUUUUGUUUUGUGUGUAUAUCUGUAUGUUUUAUGCGUGUGGGUAUGUUUGUGUGUGUCUUCAUGUGCUACAUCUGUCUGUGACAUGUAAGUUGUCGAUAUGUCUAUUCUUGAAGGCAGCGAGGUGGCAGAAUCCUUAGCUCGCCGGGCGAAAUGUUUAGCGGUAUUUCGCCCUUCGCUACGUUCUGAGUUGAAAUUCCGCCGAGGUCGAAUUUGCCUUUCGUCCUUUCCAGGUUGAUAAAUUAAGUGUCUGUCGUGUUUUGGGGUCGAUCUAACCGACAGGUCCCCUUCCCCAAAAAUUUCGGGCCUUGUGCCUAGAGUAGAAAAGAAUAUUUCUAUUCUUGACUUUAAUCUAUGUAUAUACAUUUUCCGGUUUUUUUUUUCUUCUUCCAUACUGUAUGAAUUUCUGAUAAUUUUUACUGUGACUUGCUUUCCUUUUGAGAACUACUCCCUUAACAUUUUUUGUGAAACCAAGACUAAACGUAGAUGAGUAUUUUCCUUUAAUAACCAUACCAAUAUAUUGUCCCUUUUUGUAUAUGUAGUAAGAAGAGUUUUCGCUGGAAUGUGGAAUAGAAUGUUAUGCCGCUUGAACUCAUAUCUUUUUCAGUAUUUUUUUUACUUUGCGAUGUCACUAGUAAUGGAAAUAUCGUUUAAGUCAAACACCUGCUAAUUUACACUGGUGAUGUCGAAAUUUUUACUUUGUAUCUUCCAAAAUAUUAGCAGAAGAUCUGACGUAAUCAUUCGUAUAUUUCCGAUGCACGAUUAUAGAACCAGUUCUAAGAAAAUGCACACUAAUAAUUUCUUAACAGGAUAUAGUAUGGUUACUAUCAUAAUUAAUAAUAGUAGUCCAGUUAGAAUAUGCAGUAAUGUUUAAUAAUUGCGACGUGUAUUAGAUUCAUAUCUGACGUUCCACGCUUUUGUUUGUCCAUUAGAUUUAUUUUCGUUUUUUCAAUCUAUGUUAUUAGGAGCAGAAUCAGACAAAAUUUUCUCAUUUGAAAUUCAUGCUGUUAUCGUUGUUAAUGUUGUUAUUAUUAUUGUUCUCUUAGAAACAUUACAAGUAUUAUGCCUAUAGUAUUCGUUACCGUCGUUACAGUAAAGGUUGUAAAGCAUUUCCAGGUAUACAUGUAUACAUAUAUUUUCCUCUCGGCCACAGUACUUCUCUACAUAACAAUUGCUUUUUGAAGGAAGAAAAGAUAUGAACAUAUAACAUGUGUGUCGAAAUAAAUAAAUAAAUAAGUAUAGAAAAGGGUUUUAUCUUAUUUCUAUAAAGAUUCAUUUUAUCUUAUUUACUUAAUUUUUUUUCUUAUUCGAAACAUCUUCCCCUAAUCCAAACAAUUUUAUCAAUGGGCCUAAGCUUACUCAGCUAAAGACGAACUGUUGCCAAGAGUAACGGUUAAUGGACUGAGAUACUAAACGGAUAAGAGAUGUGCAUAUCAGAAAUGUGUACAAAAGCAUGUCCGUAAGUAUACGUGUAUGUAGAAAUGCGCAAGUUUGUGACUGGGCGUAGAAUAAGAGUGUAGGAAACGGAAAACAGCAAAGUAAAACGGCAAACGACUUGUGGAUUUUCAACUUUUGAAAAGAGCAUAGGAAAAGGAAAUCUGAGAUAAAUCUGCCCUUGAAACACUUUACGGUUAAGUAUAUCUAGAGGGUCAUAGGUGAUGCAUAUGUGCAUUUCAUUUUCAUCCAUCGAUGUACAAAUAUUUGUGACGGUGCUAACAUCUGACAAAAUGAAGUCUUAAUCAUUGGAUAUGCGCGUGUGUGUAUACACAGAUAUGCACUUGAGAAAUGUUUGCAAUACACAUUGUUUGAAUUGCCCAGUAAUUACGCUCGUAAAUCCAAUAAUAAAAUGACUAUGUGAUUCUCCAUCGCGGUUCGUUCAGAUGCACCCGUGCGCGGGUAUAUGUACAUAAUAAGUGUUUCAUACAUUGCUAUGACACUGUCUAGUAUUUACAAAACUUCAAUGCAAUUCAAAAUCUUUUAUAGAAUUACAACUCUGGCUCCAAUUCAAUAUCUGUCAACGACAUCUCAAUCGAUAUCCUGGUUCACAUUGACUAAAAUUGUUCUUGCUGCGAAAGUUAAUUUCCAAAUUUUUUAUAUGGUAUCUUUUCAGUAAAUGAGUUAGAUCAUGUUUCAGAUUUUCUUUUUAAUUCUAAGAAUGUAGCAUGUUGUGAGGAAUAAGUAGAAUUUUCACUUCAUGCAUUUUGUCAUACACUGCAUAAUUUUGGGUAUUGAGUGACGGAGAUUCGAAUGAUAUAAACCCCUAUCCUCAGCCAUUACAUUUUUUUAAGCAGGAAAGAUACUCUUUUAAAUGAAAAUGCUUAGGAAAGUAUUGCAAUGAUAUAUAUAUAUAUAUAUAUAUAUAUAUAUAUAUAUAUAUAUGCUUUCGGUCCGAAAGGGUUUUUUAUGCAUCACCGUUUUUACAAUCCUGUAAAUAAUAAUAAUUGUGUUUUAUAUAAGCUUAAAAUUAUGGCGAUCACCGUGCAACGACUAAGUAACAUAGUCUAAUAAAUGGGCAUAUAAGACCUCGAUAGGAAAAAAAGAAGGCUUUCCUAUCUACGUGGGAAACGAACACACAUCCCUUUGUUAAAGAAACUAAAUGUGUUACGCGGAGAAGAAAACCUUCCUUUCUGCGUAGAGGGCUUAUAUGCCGCUUUAUUAGACUAUCUUCCAUAGACAUUGCACGGUGAUCGCCAUAAGCUUUAAGGUUAUAUAAAAAUGUCAUUACUUUAUGAUGUAACAAAUAAGUUAUGUGGACGUAAACACGCCAGCAUCGGUUGUCAAGCGAUGUUGCGGGACAAACCUAGAAACACACACACACAUACACAUACACACACACACGGUUUUCAGUUUCCGUCUACCAAAUACACUCAAAAGGCUUAUGAUGGGCCCAAGGCUAUAGUAGAAGACAAAUACCCAAGGUGACACGCAAUCGGACUGAAACCGGAACCAUGUGGCUAGUAAGCAAGCUACUUAUCACGCAGCCACUCCUGCUUUAGUACUAGUAAUUAUUUAUGUUUGGUACUACGAAUAUUUUGAUCACACUAUUUUUAUUCAUCUAUCGAAUCGAAUGUCUUCAUUUCUUGAAAUCUACGAAAAAUACACACUGAUGAUCGCAUACAUUUCCUCCAUUAUUACAGCUUCCUUCUAUUUAUGCUCGAGUUGCGUUUACUCUGUAUUUAAUAGCCUAACGAUAAAAUAUUACAAAUCAUCCCAAUUAGAAUGCAUGGCAAUUAGAAAGAUUUCGACUGUUAAUUACCUGCGAACAGUGUGAUUUUACAAAAACACUUUGGAUUAAAUUGAUAGGAGUUUCCCUCCUUAUAAAGUAAGGCAGUGAUUCCGAUAUGAAAUGUUUACAGGAAGAUGUGCGCGUGAAUAGAUUUGAAGGAAAGGAGCGAAAUAUUUAAGUUUAAGGAUUCUUCCCGGAGAUAUUGUUGCUGAUGUGUUAGAGUAUCAUUAAUUGGUUAUUUAAUAAAUCAUGUGUUAAUAAUCUUACCAUUAAAAGUUGAAAUUGAAUUUCAGAAUAUUCUCUUAAAGAACGACAUCGUAAAAGGCCUAUCACAUAAUUAUUAUUCUGUAGGCCUAUAUUAAAUAACCCUUGAGUAAGUAAUAUAGAAUUCGUGAUCUUAAUUGAUUACCGUACAUAAAGAAAAUUCUUCCCGUCGCAUCUAACCACAAUUGGUGGGGAAAAGCAACUAUUACACCCUUUUAAAAUAUACAGUACGUAAUUACGGACCUUUACAUUCUGAGUUCAAAUCUAACCGCGAUCACUACUGAGUUUCCUUUUAGGUGUUGAUACUCCUGCUGAUAUUAUCAAGUGUUCUGCUACUUGCGAUAAAGAAAGGUUUGUCUAUAUAACAAAACUUUCUAUUCAUGCAAAUAGCAAAUUAUCGAAGGAAAAUUUACAUGGAUCCUCUGUUUUUAGAGAAAUAACAGACAAUGCCUAUUCGAGCAUAUUUCUUCAUCUGACAAUAUAAUCUAGAGUUUGAAAACUCCAAACAGAUGAAGCCGUCAGCAAUGUAAAAUCCUUGAUCUGACGGAUACUCAAUCAGGCAUUAUCGAAAAGUAAACAACAAAACACAACUUGUUAAUAUACCAAUAUACUGCUUGCAUAUAAACAGAACUUAUGAUGUUUCAACGUUCUUUAAUUGUUUAUAGCCAUAAUUUCCAUGCAAAAUUAUAUUUAUUCUAUAUCUUUUUGUACAAAUGUGCAUAUCAAAUGCCAUACAUUGAAUAUAAUAAUAAAACAUGAAGCAGAUUCUAUUCAGUAUUUUACUCUUGUAAUCUGAUAAUUUGGCAUUAUGAUUACAUCUAGAGACAGGAAGAAACAUUUAAAGUUAUUUCUGAUGUUUAUCUUUAUGAAUAAUUUUUUCCUUUUCAAAUCAAAAUGCUUACUAGAAAUUAAUUAAUGAAAUGUUAUAUACAUUUAUAUUUAAUGUCUUAAAGUUUCUCAGAUUUGUGUAAGACGGCAAUAUUAUGAAUAUUGUCUCUGUAUAAGCAGUUUUGUGUGGAAUACAUUAAUAUGCAACCGACGCCGUUGAGAUCCAAUCGAGUGUAAAGUGGAAUUUGCUGUGUAGGAAAAGGAAUACUAAUGUACAAGGGAAGAAUACUGUCUGUAAAAUAAUGACAUUGGUCACCAAAAAUAUCAUCACCAACAUCCUAGCAUGCGCGCCCAGUCGUGUCAUUGUGCCUGUAAAUACGGUUUAAACGCAUAUACAACUUACAUACAUAUGUAUGUAUACAUAUGAGUUAUUAUCUAAUUAUGAGACAAGAUGUUGUGCAGUAAACAAUGAGAUCCGUCAGAAAUGAGAACCCGAGACCAAACAUAUAAGAUGUCACAGUGGGGUGAACAUCAUAACCAUUAAUAAUAUGAAAGAGAAAUGGAAGAAUUUCUUAAUGAAAGCCUCAAUACAAUGCAAACAUGAUAAAGCAGUGACACAGAAGAGAAACUAUGCGUGGUACUAGAAAUCAGUUGUUUAGUAGAUAUCAACGUAAAAAUCAACUUAAGAAAAAAUCAGCUUAAGAAGACAUAUAUACAGAACUAAUUCAGAAGGGAGGAAGCUUAUUACUAGACUACAGUUGCAAACCCUCAAUCGAAAUCUCAAAUUAUGUAAAGUUAUUCGUACGUUUAGCAUAUAAGUACAUAGGCAUAUGUCCUGAAUCUAUAUACAUGAAUAUAAAUACACGACCAAAACAAGCUGAUUUUCUCAUGAACUAACCCCAAAUACGUGCAUAUAGUCACACAGUCACGCACAACUGCAUUAUUGAUGCUGAUAUUGUACGGAAUGUGUUGUGGAUGUCGGUUAGAAACCGGAUCUUUCUCUAUUAACAAGGAUUCUAUGAAAAAAAAAACUAAAUAAUCAUACACACACGCAUACAUACAUACAUGCAUGCCACAGUGUGAGUGUAUAUGUGACAAAUAAUAAAUGAUUUUUGUACACUAGUCAUAAGAUCACUUCACAAUAUACGAGAUUACUGCGUGGACUUCAGAACAUUAUUGUGUUAUUGCUCCCGAAUUGAUGCAAAGCAAAAUUAAAAUCACCACGUUUUAAAAUAAAAGGUGCUAAAAUCCAUAUAAGAACUAUAAUAUGCAAGUAACUUCGUAACGGAACAAUCUACAUAUAUUUAGAUAGUGCUCUUUUAUCAGUGCUAGAUCACCACUAUCUCUGUGAAAUAGUAAUUGAAAAUUCACGCAUUCUUUAAGUCGCUUUUCUGUAUAGAUUUUUCAAGCCCUUUCAGUGUCAAACACUAGAUUAAGGAAGAACGCUUAAUCUUUGUGUGUAUUAGGAAUAUUUACACGUUUGUAGUAUCAUGAGAAUUGAAGGUUUUGAUCGAAAGAAAGAAAAAUAUUUUGUCCCUUUUCAAUUACGUAAAUGAUAUUUUCAUCCAUGAAUCACCUGAUAGUGAAAUCUCCCUUGGUUUGAAACGAUAUUGAACGAAUAUAUCAAAUUAUUUGUAGUUACUUCAAUUCUUUUAAUACUCUUUCUUUUAUUCUUGUGAAUAAUAACUUUACAAAAUCAUGCAAUUUAUAUUUGUGUUCGUUCUAGGUUUGUUUUCGCUCAUUAGUACUUUCUAAUUCAUAAACUUUCAUGAUUCAUGCAAUUACGGCUAAACACCAUACUGCUUCUAUCACAGUUUUUGCAAUUGCUGUAAACUAUUCCGCUCUCUCUAUCGACAGACUGUGGCGGUUUCUGUGUUACUUGUGUGUCUCUUUUCCAUUACUAUUCCGUUCUCUUCGUAUGAAAUUUAUAUCACUGCUGCCACAUAUAUCUUCGUUAACACUAAUGCCGCUACCAACGCAAGCUACUGCUGUCUCUUCUUCGGUUUCUACCAUUCAUAACACUUGUCAUGUCUUGUAUUUCAAGCGAUUUAUUCCUAGCAAUAAUAAUGUCAUUGUUUCCAUGACAUCAUUGUAUCAGUUGCAUUCAAAAUAAAAAUUUACCAUAACUAUUAUAUGAAGCUGACACAUUUAUAUUGAAAGCGUAGAAUAACUUACGGUAUUUAAAUAGAAUUAUAAGUUGAUAUUGAUAUUUAAAAGCACAAAAUACAGUCACGAGAGGAUAUUAAGCAUUUGAAUUCUCGUAUUUACCCCUAAGAAAAUCAUUAUGGAAAUAAAGAAGCCAUAUGUCUGUAGUAUAUAGAAAUUCAUUCAAAAAGAUCUCAGUGUCAUAGUAAUGAAGUUUGGAAGAGUAGUUUCCAGACUGAAAACAUACGCUAAGAAAGAUAUUAAAGUAGCUAUUAAUAAUGUGUAUAUAUAUUAAAAAUGGAAAUCUUACGUAUUCGAGUUUUUAACAAAACAUAUCUGAAAAAUAAAGUGUUCCCUCUAUGUAUAGAAACUUUGGCAUACAUUGAUAUAUGAAUACAUGUGGAAACACACACACGCACAGACAUGAGCGGUGCGCCUGCGUAUGUAUUUAGGCAUAUACAUUAUAUGUUAUAUAUGGAAUACAGAUAUUAAUCAAUCACACCCCCUGACCUGUAUAUAUCCAUAUAUUCAUGCACUUGCUUGCGCGCUUGCGGUGAGUAACUAUAUUUUAUUAUUAGAUGAUAUUUUAAAUUUUGCUUUAUUAGGCACUUUGUUUAACAGAAUGGCGCUGAUAGUAUAAGCCCUGUCAAUUGCCUUAAUAACUGUCGGGUUUUGUUGCAUAAAUUUUGUUUGAAAAGUUGCCGGAAAUAUUAAUUUCAUUGAAAUUUAUGUAAGAGAGUUAACCACCUAAACGAUCUAAACAAGAGGUUAGCUUCCGGCAGCAAAUAUGUAAAUUCUGCUUUACAGUUAAGAGAAUUGCAAUUCUUUUAGUAUGUGACGCUUUUGAAAGGAACACAACCAGAGGGGGUUACAAGCUCGGAGAAAUAAAGAGGGCCAUUUUUAAAAGUGGUUUAUAUUCUAUAAUGCAGACUAUUUCACUGAGACUGAAUUCUCCAACAGAGUUGUGAAUUUGAGGAUGAUUUUUAACGUCCCUUAUCUUAGAACUAUUUAUAUGUUGAGAGUACCUUCCUAUGACGUAAUUUCCUAUGAAUUACACACAGUUACGCGGGAUAUCAUGAACCCAAGUGAUAUGCAGGUGCUAUCGAAAGCCACAACUCCAGUCUGUGGGUUUGAAUCUGCAGGAGUGCCGUAUGACUUUUUCUAAAGCAUGCGGUAUCGCCACAGCUACAGUAUAUUUAUCCAUUUCAUUUUUUUGUUCGAAUUUGAAUGAAGUGAAUUUAUUCAAAUAAACACACAAAAUUUGAAUGAAGUGAAAUUAUUCAAAUAAACACACAUAAUUAUAUUUAGUAUACAGGAGUGGCUGUGUGGUAAGUAGCUUGAUAACCAACCACAUGGUUCCGGGUUGAGUCCCACUGAGUGGCAUCUUGGGCAAGUGUCUUCUGCUAUAGCCCCGGGCCGACCAAUGCCUUGUGAGUGGAUUUGGUAGACGGAAGCUGAAAGAAGCCUAUCGUAUAUAUGUAUAUAUAUAUAUAUAUAUAUAUAUAUAUAUAUAUGUAUGUGUGUGUAUAUGUUUGUGUGUCUGUGUUUGUUCCCCUAGCAUUGCUUGACAACCUAUCCUGGUGUGCUUACGUCCCCGUCACUUAGCGGUUGGGCAAAAGAGACCGAUAGAAUAAGUACUGGGCUUACAAAGAAUAAGUCCCGGGGUCGAUUUGCUCGACUAAAGGUGGUGCUCCAGCAUGGCCGCAGUCAAAUGACUGAGUAAAAGAGUAAAAGAGUAAAAGAGUAUAUUAGCAACUGUUUUCAUGACCGCUCUGACUUGAAUUGGUAAUGUAUUCUAUCAUACAAGAUAUCCAAAAUGACAACACUCCGCAAAACAGCGUCGUGGCCUUUUUGUACAAGCGUUUGUACCUGUAGCACACUCAGGAAACACAACAUAUCAUUAUGUAUGUAUGUAUGUAUCUAUCUAUCUAUAUGUAUACAUAUGUAAUUAUAAAUAUGUAUAUAUAAAUAAUAUAGGUAUAUGUGAGUCUGUAUGUCUUGUACACGAGUGGAUUCCUUUUCAUCACAUCUCAACACAGGACAUACAACGAAAUGAAUAAGAGCGAUCCACACAACCACAGUGAAAGAUGGACUACCUAUUUCGUGGAUACGGUAUAAAUGACAGUUAAUCUACACGGAAUAACAUCCCAACGUCUUCAAUAAAUAAACAUUAUAUUACAUAAUAUUUAUAUCUAGAUAUUGCUAAACACAUGAUGUUGGAAACGACUGCAGUGUCUUUGCUAUCACGCCUUGUUUGCGGAGUUACUACUGGUCUAUAUAUUAACAUCAACAAAAAUUGCAAGUGUAACAAUAUUAAGAGAAAGUGGUUUACAAAUUGUUCAUAGCCAGUGGAGCUAACUUUAUUAAAAUUAUGCUAAUAGGAAUUUUGUAUGAGCAAUUCCUCUGUAGGGAAAACAAUUUUCAUUCUUGAGUAUUUGACAUGAACAAGGUUCGCUAAGCAUGAUAUCAAGCGAAAAGAAACAAUGAGCCAUUCUAAUUUUAUAUUUACGCAUACUCACACACAUACACACACAGACACACACACACACACACACACACACACACACACAGUCACACACGUAUUCACACAGAAUUAUAUGCAUACAGAUAUAGAGAGGGAAAUGUAGAGAGCGCGAAAUAGUGAAUUUAGAGAGCGAUAAAAGAAAAACAAGACAGAAAGUCAAAUUCAAACUGAGUAUACAAUAAGAGAAGCACUCUUUCGCUGAACCGCUUUGGUUCUGCAUAUUUAGAGUCAUUGAUACGACGUUGAACAUUUUCGAUAUAUGUUUGGACCCCAGGAAAUUGUGGAAGUAUUCAUGAAACGGGGAAAAAGAAGUUUCCGAACAUCUUUGAUAACGAAAGGAGAGCUGACAACAAAUUUGUAUUUUGACGCUGUGAGCCGAAAAAUGAAAGGCCUCAGCUUUCUAGAGAUGAAAGUCAAUUAAUACACCAUAAAGUUGUUCCCUCUUACUCUCUGUCUCUGUCUCUCUCUGCCUCUCCCUCACUUUCUCCCAAUUUAUUUAAUUUUAAUUAUUUUUUGUUCUAUAUAGCUGUAUGUGAGCAUCUCAUUCUUAACGUGUAUGGAGAAAGAGGAAUAGUUUGUCAUGGGGUUUGAACUAACGUGGAUUGAUAUCUCACUCUCUACAUUGCACAACCUUUCUUUCUUCUCGCACUUCAGUGUGUAAAUGUCUGUGUGAUUCCGUUUGUGUCUGUGAGCGUGAAUGCAUGUGUGUGUAUGUGUUUUGCCUGAAGUCAGCAUGGGUAUUUUCACGAAAAAUUCCCUCCCCAAAACAGAUUCUGUGACCAAUAACGUGUGCCAAAUCGACGGCAUUCAAGUACAUACACCCAGACGUCUCAUUAUGUAUGUAUAUACGGCUUACACACACACACACACAUUCGUAUAUACACACAUACACACAUACAUACAUACGUACAUAUAUACAUACAUACACACAACGACAUGAACGCAACCGUACACUGUUGUAUCACUCGUAAAGAAAGCUUGGACAUUUAUCAGAAACAACGGCGUAAUGCGUACCUUUUGCAAUUGAUAUACGACCACAGUUGGGGCACAAUGCAAGCGGUAUUCCGUAUAGCUAACAAUACUGUAGUUGGGUAAGGCAAACGCGCUUGUAAAAUCACACAAUCAUUAACUGUUGUAGACCAUAUGAAUAGAUAUAUAUAUAUAGGGUGAAUAAACAUUAGGAUUUGCGUUUUGUAUGUGUAGAUAAAAAGCUCAAGUGCAGAUUUUCAAAUGAUUUGAUAUGCAACAGUAAAAAGUUCAAACCGACUUAAAAUAUAAUCUUUGCUUCCUUGUAGCAAAUUAACGGACUUUAAUGUUCCAUUUUUAGAUUGUUCUAGUCUAUUAAAUGUCAACGAAAACAAAAAGAAAUCUUCUCGUAAUUAAGAACUGCAGGUUCCUGCGUAAAUUUAGAUUCUAUUGUCUUUAUUCUUUUAAUCGGUAAUUAAAAGCUAGUAACGAAUAGAUAUCGAAUUCGCAAGCUAAAUAUAGUUAACAUUUCACUGCAUGCAUUUAUUUAGAUCAUAGUGUCUAGAUAUUUAAAAUUGUUUAUGUCAUUUUAUGCCUUCAGAACAUGUUCAGAAAUGCAUUAGUUUUAUGAUUAGCAUGUAUAUAUGUAUAUAUCUACAACUCAGACGUAACAUAUAUAGAGCAUGUGUCGGUGCAUACAUAUGAUGGCGCUUAUUCGGUGUUUUUGUAUGUAAACAUUUCGCAACCCAUAUUUUCCAGAUGUAACCACCAGUCGCCUAGACUGCAAGAGCAUUUUCAAAUUUCAUAUUAGUUUAAAAACAAAGAAAUAUGACUAGGAAUUUAUACAACAUAUUACACCAUCACACACACAAACUCCGACCAAAACACAGUCCCAUCUAUGUAUGUUUAUUUAUAUACAUAUAUACAUACGUAUACACAUACAGACAUAUAUAUACACACACACACACUCACAUAUAUAUACAUAUAUAUAGUUAUAUAUAUAUAUAUAUAUAUAUAUAAGAGAAGAGCCACCUUUUAUCAAUUCAACAAUGAUAUAAUUAAAUUAUACCAUACAGAAAAACUUAAAUAUACGCUAAAACAUAUACCAAUAAUUAAGUAAAGUACAAAAUGCUAUCCUAUAUAUAUAUAUACAUAUGCCGGAAUUGUUAUUAAUACAAUGACCUGUAAUAAGUGUAUCAAGUGUUCAAUAUCAAUAUCAAAUGUUUGCUUGGUGAUACGUUUAGUUAGAAAUAUUGAUGUUUAUAGAUUCCACUGAAAUCAAAACCACUCAUUAUAUCUUAAACGUUUCGUUCAUAAGCUAUGUUUUAGUGUUGAGUAUUCAUGCCAGAUUAACAACAUCUGCAAUCACUGUCAUGUUUGUUAAGUAUUAUUUGCAAAUUAAAUCUUCUACUAUGUCUUCCAUAAGUAUAACUAUUACCUGAACUGCGACAUAGAUUUGAAUUGAAUGUUUAUGUUUGAAACUAGCGAAGCAUCAAGAAAUGAUUUGAAAUAGUUACCAUCCCUUUUUUUCUCAGCAAUAUGUUAUAAUUUUGCAUAUCAUACAUUUACUUAUAUUUGCGAUAUUAUUUUGUUCGAAAGAUAUUGUCAACUGACAUUUGCAGCGUAUCUGUGAUCCUAUUGCAAGCGAUAGGCUUCUAGUGAUUGUAGAAGUGUAUUAUUGGAAACGUUUCAGAAAUUUUCCUUUGUGUUCAUUUACAAUUUCCACUGAAGGAUCAAUAAAUCGCAUUUAUUGAAUUGAGUAAAUACAAUAACUUCUGCUUAAGUUGAUAAGACUGUUCCGAACUCACAGUCUUUUUCCAUGCUCUCUAAUAUACUGCAUGGAUGCAACAUGCAUUAUAUUUCUAUAUACACUCUUUAAAUUUAGAAUAAGAUCCAUUCGAUCGAAGGCCUGUACCAUUAGAGUAGACAUCAGGCAAAACAGCAGAAGCGCUAGCAGCAUCUACAAGAAGCAAAUAUUACGACUAUCUUUCAUUAGAAAUUGUUUUCCGAAGGCUAUGUCAGCUGGAAACCCAAUUUCAGAAUCAAAAUUAUUUCAGAUACGAUGCUAGUGAUUCAGCGUCAACCCCCAGCUUAUACUAGACCAGAAAUAAAGUGUUUACGUUGUCUCUACAUAUAUUAGAAAUAACAACUCAAAUCCCCAUCAAUAUACAGCCUACUUAUUUAAGAUCAUUAUUUCUGAAUAUAAGAUUGGUUAGCCAAGAUUGAGACUCAUGUGGUGAUAAGUGUUCUCGAUGGGUGAUAACCUGAGACUAAACAAUAAACACAGAAACGAAUAUUUCAAAAUAACUGGACAUGAGUGUCGAUGAAAAUUUAAACGUUUUUUCUAAACAGUAGAAUAAUUCAGGAGAGAAUUUGUGCCAUUCUGUAGUAUGUAUGAAUACAACAUGAUCUGUUGUUUGUUCUUCAAACUACUGAGCUGAAAAUACACGUAUAUCAUUCUCACUCUUUCAGAAUUAACGAAUGGAAGUAAACAAUCGAAUAAUAAUACUCUGUAUCGGUUAUCUACCAACAUCCUUACAAUAGAAGAAAAAAGUUUUCUUUUGUGUGCAAGAAAAUAAUAAUGAAUGGAAUUGCUAUUAUCAGACGUUUCAACGAUGAUGGUUUAAAGGAGUAAAUAUAUAAAAAAAACAGAAUCCAAUGUAAAGGAACUAAAAAACAAAAUAAAAUAGAGGUCCAUUAACUACAUAUGUGUACACAGAAAAUAAAAUAAAAUAAAGCAACGGCAAAUAUUUUGAAUCAAUGGAACCAAUUCCCUAGAGAUUAAUUUCUGUUGAUUGAUACUGUUCUAACUCGAAGCCAUUUUAUGUAUAUCUUUAAAUGCUAACACAUUUAUGCUAUGCAAUCCACCUUGAAAAUCAUUUUCUAAACGAGACUUCGGGGAAUUAAAAUAACUGUUUGUGUUCGAAUAUAUUCUAAAUGUAUUUUACUUGUUUUCCUGUUCGUUCUGUUGUAGCCUUAAAUAAGAUUUGCAAACAACAUUGGUGUUUUGGUUACGGUAAGAGAUUUUAAGCGCAUUCAGUUUAAGAUUCUUAAUGCACAUUUGUUUACUACUUGUUUUCACUACAUUUACGACAGGUGGCAGCUAUUGGUUUAGUAAUUAUAAUAGUAAAUUCUAUACAGGCGCGUAUAACACACGCGCGCAAUAUAUAUAUAUAUAUAUAUAUAUAUAUAUAUUUGUGUGUGAGUGUUUGUGUGUGUGUGUGUGUGUAUGCGUUUGACUGUGCUCCCAGCAUGACCACACCUCUCCUAUCAAAACUCGUGAAGAAAUAUAUAUGCGUACGCACAGAAAUAUAUAUGUAUCAUAUAUAUAUACAUACAUACAUGUAUACAUAUAUAUACAUAUAUAUACACAAAUAUAUAUACAUAUAUAGAUGUAUAUAUAUAUAUAUAGGGUGAGUGACAUAUUUGGGGAUAGGUUUAUGUCUCUAAAAAGACAGAUAUAUUACAUGUAAAAGCAUUCAUUAAAAAAUGCUAUGUGGAUAAAAUAAACCGUUUCUAGUAUGUCAUUCAAUAAAGCCACCUUCAGCUUCAACAACGGCUUCUAUAUGGGAUGUGAAUCAUCUACAUGCUUGAAUGAACCGGUCCUGGUUCAUUUUGGACGUUACGCUGACUAUGGCAGCUUUCAAAGAAUGUAGGUGUUAAUAGCGUGUUCAUUGACCUCUCUUUCAACAACGCCCCACAUGUAAUAGUCCAAUGGACUGAGAUCUGGGGAAUUAGGAGGCCAAAUUAUAGGAGUUGUGUGAUCAUGAAAAUUUUUAGUCUGUGUUAUUAAAGCCAUGUAUGACAGUGCAAAGUCUUACUGAAACACAUAUGGACUUCUAUUGCAUACACUGUCUAUCUAGGGUUCAAAACCUAUAUCCAGGACUGCAAUGUCGGCAGCAGAUUUAUGUCUAAGGCCUUGUAGAAAGAAUUAAAUAGGCAUCACUUGUCCUUCUUUGCUGACAAAGAUGAUAACCCUAAAACCAUGAUAAUUGCUGGAAAUUUGUUUAUGCAUAUCACUUGGAACUUCAGAACGCUCUGCGCUUAUCCAUCCCUCAUUUCUUCUGUUAACUUUUUGAUCUUGGACGAAGUUGUUCUCGGUUGAGAAAAAUCAAAUCAAAUAUUCUUCUGCUGCACUUUUCAGUUUGCUUAAGAACCUUUUAUAUCUGAUGUAGUGAUUUACUUUUGCUUUUUCUGACUUUUCCUCAUCAUAUAAGAUUUAUAUCUGAUAUUGUCGUGGAUAGCAUUUCUGCCUCUACCUUCUGACAUAUGAAAAUGUUUUGCAAUUGACCUCAUGUAUUUUCUGGGAUUGUAAGCAAUUGUCUGUUGAACUUGUUUGAUAAAUUCAUGUGUUCUGAUGAUAUCAGAGCAUUUAAAAUGUUUUUUAAUGCUUUAGUACUGGUGAAACGUUUCUAUUUUCAGUCUCUAACUCCUUACAAACUUUGUAGACAAAAUAUUUCUAAAUCGCUAUGCUCAGCCUUUAUAAGCACAAUAACUGCGUGCCCAACUGACCGGACAACACAGUGUAGUAGUCGAUGAAACAAGAGCCAAACAAUGCGCAUGCGCGAAACCAUGUAUAUAAUAUCGGGAAAAUUUACCCAUUGCUCCCUGUAUAUAUAUAUAUACUUGAAAGAUUUACAAAUAGCAAUUAUUUAUAUGAUGCACACACACAUAUAUAUAGAGAGAGAGAAAAAGAGAGAGAUAAAAUUAGAUACACAACCGAAAGCGCUAAUAAUAAUUUCAUGCUAUUAUGAUACUUGAACAGGCAUACUUAUAAAAUAUGCUAUGUAUCUUAAAGCAAUGUUUCAGGCUGCAUUUAUUCGUUAUGUAUGUAUGCAUGCUUGUAUGUACAUAUGUCUAUAUAUAUACCUAUCUAUCUAUCUAUCUAUCUAUCUAUCUAUUUAUCUAUCUAUCUAUAUAUCUAUCUAUCUAUAUAAAUAAAUAAAUAGAUAUAUAUAUAUAUAUAUAUAUAUAUUUCUUUAUCCGAAUGCAUUACGUUUAGGACCAUGGCUAUCAAGUAAUCGUGUCGUCCUGAGUUUGCUACUCUAAAUGGCACUUGGGACACGUGUCAUACUUGAGUCUAACCAAUCGUUAUAAAUAAAACUGGUUAAAGUACACGGUCAAAAUAAUCGCCUUGCUUCUAAUUUAUUGGCGGUUAUAUUUACAUAUUUCUUUUGAGAUCUUUGCAUUUAUGUGGUACGCUAAAUUGUUAAAUCAAUUAUGUACGUCUUUAGAUCUUCAUUGCCUGAACUGUCUGGAGAAAAAUGACGCUGGCGGGUUUGUUUUGCUACGAAUAAUAAACGUGGACAAAAAUGAUUGCUCUUAGUAUUAUCGUCAUAAUUUGGAUUUAUAAAGAGUUGAUUUCUAUGCAAUUGGGCAGGUUUUCUUCAUUUGUCAUCGCGUAACAUGUCUUUUCUGAUUGAUUGCUGAUGAAUAUGAAAAACCCUCAACAUCGAUAUUCUAGCGCUUAUAUCUACAUUAGCCAAAUUGAUUUUGCAUUAACUAUUUGAUAUACACAUCGCAUCAUGUAAAACUUACCCCGAUGAAGGCAACAAUGCUGUUCACACAUUCGAGAGCAUCAUUCUCCAUUUAAACUGCAAUGAAUGAUAAAGUAUAUAUGUAAAAAAUAUCUAGAUAUAAUAGAUAACUAUCUUCAGCCUUGGUGUUUUUAAUACAAACUGUCUACAUCUGUUUAGCCUACACACAUCGUCUUUGUUUGAGAUCCCAGUUAAUAGUGGGUUGUCGUCAUUGAAUUAUGGCUUAUUCAUUUUGAGACAUGCCAGUGACCAUCACACUCCAUGUCCAAAGGGGUUCAAUUUCACGUGUAGAAAGACACGGCAAUACAACACGGAUAUAAAUCAAUUCUAGUACAGAACUGGUACAAAAAUCCAUUUAUUGCCUCCCAUAAGGGGGAAAGCCAAAUGUAAUGUCGGCCUGACUCAAAUAUUGUUUACUGUGAUACAGCAGGUAUAUCGCCAGGAUAUAGAUGUCAUGCUUGAACGUAUCACAGACAUAUAAAGUGUGGAUGAAACGAUAGACGAAUAAAAACAAACACACAAAAAUACAAAUAUAUAUACAAAUUAUUGUAUGCAUACAUACAUACAUAUGCAUAGGAAUGUAUGUAUACUUAUUCUUUUACUUAUUUCAGUCAUUUGACUGCGGUCAUGAUGGAGCACCGCCUUUAGUCAGCUCAGUACUUAUUCUAUUGGUUUCUUUUAUCGAACUGCUAAUUUAUGGGGUCGUAAAUACACCGACAUCGGUUGUCAAGUGAUGGCGGGGUGGGCGGGGUGAGAAACAAAAUCAUAUAUAUAUAUAUAUAUAUAUAUAUAUAUAUAUAUAUAUAUAUAUAUAUAUAUAUAUAUAUACGACGGGCUUCUUCCAGUGUCUUUCUAUCAAUUCCACUCACAAGGCUUUGGACGUGCCUCGGCUAUAGAAGAUAUUUGCCUGAGUUGUCACGCAGUAGGACUGAACCCGGAACGCCGUGGUCGGGAAGCAACCUUCUUACCACAGAGCUACAUAUUUUCUGUAUACGUAUAUGUAAGUGUGCAUGCAAAUGUAUAUGUAAGGUGUGUAAGACGCAUGACAAAGUGGUUAGAGUGUUGGGCUCACAAUCAUGAGGCUGUGAGUUCAAUUUCCGGACCGAGCAGUGUGUUGUGUUCUUGAGCAAGACAAUUUAUCUCACGUUACACCAGUUCACUCUGCUGUAGAAGUGAAUUGCAAUGUCACUGGUGCCAAUCUGUAUAGGCCGUUGUCUUUCCUUUGGAUAACUUUGGCGGCGUGGAGUUGAGGCUGGUAUGCAUGGGUGACUGCUGGUCUUCCAUAAGCAAACUUCGUUGGAAUUGUGCGGAGAAGGGGCACUUUCUAGGUGCAAUCUCAUCGUCAUAUAUGAUCGAAGGGUAUCUUUACCCUCAUAUAUGUAUAUAUAUAUAUAUAUUUCUUUACUACCCACAAGGGGCUAAACACAGAGGAGACAAACAAGGACAGACAAACGGAUUAAGUCGAUUAUAUCGAACCCAGUGCGUAACUGGUACUUAAUUUAUCGACCCCGAAAGGAUGAAAGGCAGAGUUGACCUCGGCGAAAUUUGAACUCAGAACGUAACGGCAGACGAAAUACGGCUACGAAUUUCGCCCGACGUACUAACGUUUCUGCCAGCUCACCGCCUUAAAUAUGUAUAUAUAUAUAUAUGAAUAUAUAUAUACAUAUGUACAGGUAUAUAUGUAUGAAUAAAUAUUCAUGUACGUGAUUAUAUAUGUAUAUCACCAUGUAUGUAGAUCUAUAGAGUUUUAUACAUACACAUUUUUAAAUGAGUGAAAACAGUUUCGAAAUAAAAUAAUGAAAAUAUGGAUGAAAUUUGCGUUGAUUAAAUGUAAUAGAUUUAACAGGACAAAGUUAAUAGCACGAAUCAUGUAAUCUGAUUUCACAUAUAUUGUUAUUCAAUCAAAACGCACGGAAUAGAAAUUAAUUAACCGAAAUCUUCGAUUCGUGAUCCAAGCAAGAUAACUAAAUACAAAUCUCUGCCAAGCACGUAAGGAGAAUAGAUUGAUAUAUAAUGUUUGACUUCACACAGGAAUGUAAUGCUACAUAUUUUAGGGAUGGACAUAGUUGUAUUUCAUUGAUACAUAUUUGUUAGAGUCAUGAAAGUCAGGUCACUUAUAGAAAUCUUAGCAUAAUGCUGCGAGAAAGGCGUUCCUUUCGUACGCACUACCAAAACUAACUAACCUCAUAUAGUGACAAAUAUUUGGCAUUCCUGUCUCAACUGAUAUGGAUGUGACUCUGUGAUUUGAUAUCAUAUUUUGUUUUAUUGUAGACGAUAAAGUAAUAUGUUAUGAUACAUUAAAUACAUAUAUACACACACACACACGUGUGCAUGUGUGUGUGUGUGAUCGCUCUCUCAUCAUGAGCGACAAAUGAGGCUUCAGUAAAAUAAAGUGAUAAUUAUGUUCUAUAGUCAGGAAUGUGCCCCUUGAGACUUACUGGUGCCUAGCAAAUAUGUUGGCAAAGGGAACAAGUUGAUCAAGUGCUUGUGAGUCAUCGACCACGUGUUUUCUGGAAUGGACGGCAAAGCCUGCUUUGCUUCGUACCUGAAAACCACAAUGACAGGUAAGAUUUCCGUUUAGAGGAAGAGUAUUUCGCCAAAUUGCCUUCAUGUUGGUCCCGAUUUUGGAGUCGACAUUGCUCAAAUCAUUCAACUGAGGAGAGGAAGGAAUGGUGCGUAUAUCUGCAUGUAUAUAAGUGUAUAGUUAUACGUAUAUAUGUGCUCGCAUAUAUACAAGUAUAAAUAUAAACAUAAACAUAUAUAGACAUGUGGAUACUCAUGAAUUUACAGCAUAAAUUUAUGCGAUACCUCCAUGGCCAUCAUAACUGCAAAUGGUUGAAAAAUAUGUGGCUCUUCGUAUACGUUUUUUGUUAUACUCUACACAGUUUAAAUCUUCCUGAUAUUUCAUCUCUGUCAUAUUUCUCUGUUUCCAACUAAUUCAGUCAUGCGAAUUAUAUGUCACUAACGAAUUAUAUUAUGUCACUCCAAUAUCAUACUUUUGCGCUUCAGUUUUUUCUUAUGAUUGGUCAUUAUGAUAUAAGUUGAAAUACGUGAUUCAAAACUCUUGUAUAUCAUACAUAAAGAAUAAAUCGAAGUUACGCCAGGCACUUCACACAUUGCUCUCAUUAAAAUCAAGUACACUUGAAAGUUUCCAAUAAUCUCGACAUAGUUUUGCACUUUAUUUUAUUAUGCUUCAAAUGACCACUAAAAGAUGUCUAUAAGCAGUAGAGGAUAUACAUAUAAGUAACUUUGCGCCUCAUUACAUUUGCACCGAUCUGCGUAAGAACUCCGCUUAAUUGAAGAUUAAAAAAAAAAAAAAAAAUUCACUGGAGAGAGGUUUUUUUUUUUUACUAUUACUGAUAGAACGAUUAGUUAGAUUUUACAAAAUUAUAUCAAGCGAAAUAUUUCUGUUUGUAUAAGAGUUAUAGAAUUGAAUUUAGAAUUCGAGAUGAAAUCGCUUAUAGAUCUUGCAUAUGAAGAUCAAACUGUUAUUUUGUAAUUUGGAAUGCAAACAGCGACUGUAAACCAAUCAUGCAAAUGUGAGUUUCAUGUGGUAGGUAUGAAGAAGAUCAGAACUCGAGAAAAUGCUUAUGCAUAACUCCUGCUUAUGAUCGCUAUUAUAAAAGGCUUCAUUAUUUCCUAACUAUAUUUUAUACAGAUUUACUACUCCUGCAACCUUUUAUAUAUGAAGGUAAUAUAUUUAUUCAUAUAAUUCUACGAUAUAAAUUACAGGCAAUAAAACUAUAAACUCUAGUAGUUCAUAUAUAUUCAGUGACUAUAAAAGGUAUCACGCUAACAUUAUAAUGUGAGGUAUUAUAAAAGGAAUCAAUGAAGAAGGAAUAUUUGUGUAUUCUUCCCUAUUACAUACUUAAAGGCUCUUAGGAAUUCAAAGGGUUUUAGAUUCUUAGGUCAACCAUUUCAUUUUCCUGUACAUUUUCACGCA